UACGAAGGGGGCUAGCGUUGCUCGGAAUUACUGGGCGUAAAGGGCGCGUAGGCGGAUAUUUAAGUCGGGGGUGAAAGCCCAGGGCUCAACCCUGGAACAGCCUUCGAUACUGGAUAUCUUGAGUACGGGAGAGGUGAGUGGAACUCCGAGUGUAGAGGUGAAAUUCGUAGAUAUUAGGAAGAACACCAGUGGCGAAGGCGGCUCACUGGUCCGGUACUGACGCUGAGGUGCGAAAGCGUGGGGAGCAAACAGG
rnacentral:rRNA from 1 species